GUUUCUCUGUCUUUUUCUUUUCUUCUUUUUCUCUUUUGCUUU
rnacentral:sRNA from 1 species